AUCCAGCUGACGAGUCCCAAAUAGGUUGAAACGCGCGCCAGACUGUAU
rnacentral:hammerhead_ribozyme from 1 species